rnacentral:rRNA from 1 species
UGCAAGUUGAACGGACUUAAUCGAAAUAUUUAUAUUUUGAAGCGGUUAGUGGCGGACUGGUGAGUAACGCGUAAGGAACCUGCCUAUUAGAGGGGAAUAACAGUGAGAAAUCAUUGCUAAUACCGCAUAUGCCAUAGAUAUCACAUGAUAACAGUGGGAAAGGAGCAAUCCGCUAAUAGAUGGCCUUGCGUCUGAUUAGAUAGUUGGUGGGGUAACGGCCUACCAAGUCGACGAUCAGUAGCCGGACUGAGAGGUUGAACGGCCACAUUGGGACUGAGAUACGGCCCAGACUCCUACGGGAGGCAGCAGUCGGGAAUAUUGCGCAAUGGAGGAAACUCUGACGCAGUGACGCCGCGUAUAGGAAGAAGGUUUUCGGAUUGUAAACUAUUGUCGUUAGGGAAGAGAAAGGACAGUACCUAAGGAGGAAGCUCCGGCUAACUACGUGCCAGCAGCCGCGGUAAUACGUAGGGAGCGAGCGUUAUCCGGAAUUAUUGGGUGUAAAGGGUGCGUAGACGGGAGAACAAGUUAGUUGUGAAAUACCUCGGCUCAACUGAGGAACUGCAACUAAAACUGUACUUCUUGAGUGCAGGAGAGGUAAGUGGAAUUCCUAGUGUAGCGGUGAAAUGCGUAGAUAUUAGGAGGAACACCAGUGGCGAAGGCGACUUACUGGACUGUAACUGACGUUGAGGCACGAAAGUGUGGGGAGCAAACAGGAUUAGAUACCCUGGUAGUCCACACCGUAAA